UACGAAGGGGGCGAGCGUUGUUCGGAUUUACUGGGCGUAAAGGGCGCGUAGGCGGCGGGGUAAGUCUGGUGUGAAAUCUCGGAGCUCAACUCCGAAAUUGCACUGGAUACUGCUCUGCUAGAGGGCUGGAGAGGAGAUCGGAAUUCACGGUGUAGCAGUGAAAUGCGUAGAUAUCGUGAGGAAGACCAGUGGCGAAGGCGGAUCUCUGGACAGCUCCUGACGCUGAGGCGCGAAGGCUAGGGGAGCAAACGGG
rnacentral:rRNA from 1 species